AGUGAACGCUGGCGGUAGGCCUAACACAUGCAAGUCGAACGGCAGCACAGUAAGAGCUUGCUCUUACGGGUGGCGAGUGGCGGACGGGUGAGGAAUACAUCGGAAUCUACUUUUUCGUGGGGGAUAACGUAGGGAAACUUACGCUAAUACCGCAUACGACCUACGGGUGAAAGCAGGGGAUCUUCGGACCUUGCGCGAUUGAAUGAGCCGAUGUCGGAUUAGCUAGUUGGCGGGGUAAAGGCCCACCAAGGCGACGAUCCGUAGCUGGUCCGAGAGGAUGAUCAGCCACACUGGAACUGAGACACGGUCCAGACUCCUACGGGAGGCAGCAGUGGGGAAUAUUGGACAAUGGGCGCAAGCCUGAUGCAGCCAUACCGCGUGAGUGAAGAAGGCCUUCGGGUUGUAAAGCCCUUUUGUUGGGAAAGAAAAGCAGCAGGUUAAUACCCCGCUGUUCUGACGGUACCCAAAGAAUAAGCACCGGCUAACUUCGUG
rnacentral:rRNA from 1 species